AACGAACGCUGGCGGCAGGCUUAACACAUGCAAGUCGAACGAGCUGGGUCCUUCGGGGCCCGAUGCUAGUGGCGCACGGGUGAGUAACACGUGGGAAUAUGCCCUUUAGUACGGAAUAACAGUUAGAAAUGACUGCUAAUACCGGAUAAUGUCUUCGGACCAAAGAUUUAUCGCCCAGGGAUGAGCCCGCGUAGGAUUAGCUAGUUGGUGAGGUAAAGGCUCACCAAGGCGACGAUCCUUAGCUGGUCUGAGAGGAUGAUCAGCCACACUGGGACUGAGACACGGCCCAGACUCCUACGGGAGGCAGCAGUGGGGAAUAUUGGACAAUGGGCGAAAGCCUGAUCCAGCAAUGCCGCGUGAGUGAUGAAGGCCUUAGGGUUGUAAAGCUCUUUUACCCGGGAUGAUAAUGACAGUACCGGGAGAAUAAGCCCCGGCUAACUCCGUGCCAGCAGCCGCGGUAAU
rnacentral:rRNA from 1 species